AUCCAGCUGACGAGUCCCGAAUAAGACGAAACGUUUCCUGGAU
rnacentral:hammerhead_ribozyme from 1 species